rnacentral:tRNA from 1 species
GGCCGGUUAGCUCAGUUGGUUAGAGCGUGGUGCUAAUAACGCCAAGGUCGCGGGUUCGACCCCGCACGGGCCA